rnacentral:rRNA from 1 species
CCUACGGGAGACAGCAGUGGGGAAUAUUGCACAAUGGUGGAAACCCUGAUGCAGCAACGCCGCGUGGGGGAAGGAGCGUUUCGGCGCGUAAAGCCCUGUCAGCGGGGAAGAAGAAAGACGGUACCCGCCCCAGAAGCGCCUGCCAACUACGAGCCAGCCGCCGGGGUAAUACGUAGGGGCCGAGCUUUAUCCGGAAUUACUGGGGUUAAAGGGAGCGUCGACGGCGAGGUAAGCCUGAAGUGGAAUCCCGCGGCCUAACCGCGGAACUGCUUUGGGAACUGUUUUGCUGGAGUAUGGGAGGGGUAAGCGGAAUUCCUGGUGUAGCGGUGAAAUGCGUAGAUAUCAGGAGGAACACCGGUGGCGAAGGCGGCUUACUGGACCAUAACUGACGUUGAGGCUCGAAAGCGUGGGGAGCGAACAGGAUUAGAUACCCCUGUAGUC